rnacentral:rRNA from 1 species
CGGGGGGUGCGAGCGUUGUCCGGAAUCACUGGGCGUAAAGGGCGCGUAGGUGGUCUGAUAAGGGUGUGGUGAAAGCCCGGGGCUCAACCCCGGGUCGGCCGUGCCGACUGUUAGACUAGAGUGCUGUAGGGGCAGGCGGAAUUCCGGGUGUAGCGGUGGAAUGCGUAGAGAUCCGGAGGAAGACCGGUGGCGAAGGCGGCCUGCUGGGCAGUUACUGACACUGAGGCGCGACAGCGUGGGGAGCAAACAGGAUUAGAUACCCUGGUAGUCCACGCCGUAAACGAUGGGUACUAGGUGCCUGGGGGAGCGACCCCUUGGGUGCCGGCGCUAACGCAGGAAGUACCCCGCCUGGGGAGUACGACCGCGAGGUUG